rnacentral:misc_RNA from 1 species
GAUGAAGAAACGCAGCGAAAUGCGAUAAGUAAUGUGAAUUGCAGAAUUCAGUGAAUCAUCGAAUCUUUGAACGCACAUUGCGCCCGCCAGUAUUCUGGCGGGCAUGCCUGUUCGGGCGUCAUUACAACCCUCGGGCCCCCGGGCCUGGCGUUGGGGAUCGGCGGAAGCCCCCUGCGGGCACAACGCCGUCCCCCAAAUACAGUGGCGGUCCCGCCGCAGCUUCCAUUGCGUAGUAGCUAACACCUCGCAACUGGAGAGCGGCGCGGCCACGCCGUAAAACACCCAACUUCUGAAUGUUGACCUCGAAUCAGGUAGGAAUACCCGCUGAACUUAAGCAUAUCAAUAAGCGGAGGA